UACGGAGGGUGCAAGCGUUGUCCGGAUUUAUUGGGUUUAAAGGGUGCGUAGGUGGCUCAUUAAGUCAGUGUUUAAAGUCAACAGCUCAACUGUUGGAAUGGCAUUGAUACUGAUGAGCUUGAGUAAAGUUGAGGUAGACAGAAUUGAUGGUGUAGCGGUGAAAUGCAUAGAUAUCAUCAAGAAUACCGAUUGCGAAGGCAGUUUACUAAGCUUUAACUGACACUGAGGCACGAAAGUGUGGGGAUCAAACAGGAUUAGAUACCCUGGUAGUCCACACUGUAAACGAUGAUUACUCGAUGUUAGCGAUAUUACAGUUAGCGUCUUAGCGAAAGCGUUAAGUAAUCCACCUGGGGAGUACGACCGCAAGGUUGAA
rnacentral:rRNA from 1 species